UACCAGCUCUCCGAGUUGUAGGGAUGAUUAUUGGGCUUAAAGCGUCCGUAGCUGGCUUAGCAAGUCUCCUGUUAAAUUCAGCGACCUAAUCGUUGAGCCGCGGGAGAUACUACUAGGCUAGGAGGCGGGAGAGGUCGACGGUACUUUCGGGGUAGGGGUGAAAUCCUAUAAUCUCGGGAGGACCACCAGUGGCGAAGGCUGUCGACUAGAACGCGCUCGACGGUGAGGGACGAAAGCUGGGGGAGCGAACCGGAUUAGAUACCCGGGUAGUCCCAGCUGUAAACUAUGCGGGCUAGGUGUUGGGGUGGCUACGGGCCACUUCAGUGCCGCAGGAAAGCCAUUAAGCCCGCCGCCUGGGGAGUACGGCCGCAAGGCUGAAACUUAAAGGAAUUGGCGGGGGAGCACCACAAGGCGUGAAGCUUGCGGUUC
rnacentral:rRNA from 1 species